GGCGGUGGAGCGCUGGCUGUUGCUGUGACUGACUGUGACUAGCUGUAGUAGCCUUGAAUUCCCCUCUCAGACCCCUCUCAGAGAUACUUGAGAAAGCUAACAUGCUUUUAAACCUGUUUUUCAGAGCUGUACAGUACAGUAAUAGUGGCAUUUUAGCUGCCUCAUGCUGGAGAGAGGAGGCGCAGGAUGGAAGAAUGUAAAGGCGCUGUUUAGUUUCUUCUCCUUCCUCCCCACCGCCGCCAGUUUGGUCCCGCCGGCUGCCUGGUAAUUGGCUCCGCCCUCUGCCUCCUACAUAUGGCAGGAUCUCUGAGGGUCCAGAUGCUGCGUACCUGGGCCGAUGACCGGGCCUAUGCCAAAACCCAACUUUAUAUAAAUUGUUAUCUAAUACAUUGUUAAUACUAUUAAAAUAAAAGCUGUUAUUGUUGCAACUUUGA